GAGGCAUGAGAGCAACACUGCAGGCUGGCAGAGAAGGAGGGAGUCUUCACUGCAAGUCAAGCCCUCUGGUUGAGAGCCUCAGAAGAGCAGGGGGACCACAAGACCAGCUCCCUGCUGUGCUGACAAACUGCUGUCGCCUAAAACAUGAUUGCUGAUGCAGUCUGGGCUUCUCCACAGAAAGAAUUCUACAAGCAGAUGUGCACAAGCAGUAAUUAUGUAUACUAGAAAAAGUUACAGAAUGAAAUAGUAGAUUCUUGCUAGAGAAUGCCAUCAUGCUGCAAUGCCCGAGUUGAUUUCCAAGUGGGGGGAUAUGAAUACAAAAAAGCAGGAGUGCCACCUACAUUUUUUUUUGAGCAAACUCUCAAGCCCCUUUUGGACAGGAACAUCUGACACUCAGGUCUGAUGCUCCCAGGCUGCUCAGCAGAGCUCACUGCUCCAUGCCACCGUGCCUCAUUAUCAUCUUCUGGAGGCUGGAGUUAACGGGAAUUAUCUGGCUGUUAACCUGCACCAGCUGCUGGGCAGGCAGCAUUGGGUUCCCCCUCUUUUGGUGGGGCAGAGAGUCAGGUCCCACAGGCUGACUGCUCUCUGUCCAGCAUUCACCCCUCAUGAUACAUCACAUAGAAAAGCUCUAAAUUCUUAUCCUCUUUUUCAUCCAAAGCAUAAUAGGAAUAUGAAUACCCUUCUGCACUCCUGCAAUUAUUUCUUCUUGGAGCACAAAAUAAACAAAACCCAUCACAUUUC